UGUCCGAGUGGCUGAAGGAGCACGCCUGGAAAGUGUGUAUACGGCAACGUAUCGGGGGUUCGAAUCCCCC
rnacentral:tRNA from 1 species